AACGGGGCUUCGGCUCCGGCGCAAAGAGAGGCCCAAGUGAGAUUAGCUAGUUGGUAAGGUAACGGCUUACCAAGGCGACGAUCUCUAGCUGUUCUGAGAGGAAGAUCAGCCACACUGGGACUGAGACACGGCCCAGACUCCUACGGGAGGCAGCAGUGGGGAAUAUUGCACAAUGGGGGAAACCCUGAUGCAGCCAUGCCGCGUGUGUGAAGAAGGCCUUCGGGUUGUAAAGCACUUUCAGUUGUGAGGAAAAGUUAGUAGUUAAUACCUGCUAGCCGUGACGUUAACAACAGAAGAAGCACCGGCUAACUCCGUGCCAGCAGCCGCGGUAAUACGGAGGGUGCGAGCGUUAAUCGGAAUUACUGGGCGUAAAGCGCACGCAGGCGGUUUGUUAAGCUAGAUGUGAAAGCCCCGGGCUCAACCUGGGAUGGUCAUUUAGAACUGGCAGACUAGAGUCUUGGAGAGGGGAGUGGAAUUCCAGGUGUAGCGGUGAAAUGCGUAGAUAUCUGGAGGAACAUCAGUGGCGAAGGCGACUCCCUGGCCAAAGACUGACGCUCAUGUGCGAAAGUGUGGGUAGCGAACAGGAUUAGAUACCCUGGUAGUCCACACCGUAAACGCUGUCUACUAGCUGUGUGUGCCUUUAAGGCUGUGCGUAGCGAAGCUAACGCGAUAAGUAGACCGCCUGGGGAGUACGGCCGCAAGGUUAAAACUCAAAUGAAUUGACGGGGGCCCGCACAAGCGGUGGAGCAUGUGGUUUAAUUCGAUGCAACGCGAAGAACCUUACCUACACUUGACAUGCAGAGAACUUUCUAGAGAUAGAUUGGUGCCUUCGGGAACUCUGACACAGGUGCUGCAUGGCUGUCGUCAGCUCGUGUCGUGAGAUGUUGGGUUAAGUCCCGCACCGAGCGCAACCUUUGUCCUUAGUUGCCAGCAUUAAGUUGGGCAUUCUAAGGAGAUUGCCGGUGACAAACCGAAGGAAGGUGGGGACGACGUCAAGUCAUCAGGGCCCUUACUUGUAGGGCUACCACCUUGCUACAUUGGCAUUUACAGAGGGAACGGAACAAUGGAUUGGGACCGGACCCUUUAAGAAUGCCUAAUCCCGGAUUGGAG
rnacentral:rRNA from 1 species